rnacentral:rRNA from 1 species
AUUGAACGCUGGCGGCAUGCCUUACACAUGCAAGUCGAACGGCAGCACGGGUGCUUGCACCUGGUGGCGAGUGGCGAACGGGUGAGUAAUACAUCGGAACAUGUCCUGUAGUGGGGGAUAGCCCGGCGAAAGCCGGAUUAAUACCGCAUACGAUCUACGGAUGAAAGCGGGGGACCUUCGGGCCUCGCGCUAUAGGGUUGGCCGAUGGCUGAUUAGCUAGUUGGUGGGGUAAAGGCCUACCAAGGCGACGAUCAGUAGCUGGUCUGAGAGGACGACCAGCCACACGGGGACUGAGACACGGCCCAGUCUCCUACGGGAGGCAGCAGUGGGGAAUUUUGGACAAUGGGCGAAAGCCUGAUCCAGCAAUGCCGCGUGUGUGAAGAAGGCCUUCGGGUUGUAAAGCACUUUUGUCCGGAAAGAAAUCCUUGGCCCUAAUACGGUCGGGGGAUGACGGUACCGGAAGAAUAAGCACCGGCUAACUACGUG